rnacentral:rRNA from 1 species
GAUUAACGCUGGCGGCGUGCAUAACACAUGCAAGUCGAACGAUGAAACUUAAAUGAUUUCUUCGGAAUGAACUUAAGUGGCUUAGUGGCGGACGGUUGAGUAACGCGUGAGUAACCUGCCUUACACACGGGGAUAGCCGUUGGAAACGACGAAUAAUACCCUAUGAAACUAUCCCUUCGCAUUAAGCGAUAGUCAAAGUGUUAGCGGUGUAAGAUGGACUUGCGUCUGAUUAGCUUGUAGGUGAGACAAAAGCCCACCAAGGCAACGAUCAGUAGCCGGCAUGAGAGCGUGGACGGCCACAUUAGGACUGGGACACGGCGCAGACUUCUACGGGAGGGAGCAGGGGGGAAUUAUGCACAAUGGGGGAAAGCCGGAUGCAGCGGCGCCGCGUGAUUUAGAAGGUCUUCGGGUAGUAAAAAUCUUUUGUAUAGGAAGAAAAUGACGGUACUAUAAGAAUAAGGACCGGCUAAUUACGUG